UGUGAGCGCGUCUUUCUGCGUGGUGGUUGGCGUUUCGUUUCGUUUCUCUUUUUUUUUAAUUUCUAUCACAUGGCAGCGUGCGAGAGAGAUACAAUAAAAACAGAAAAAUGGCGACAGUCACGUUGUGGCGACUCUGUGCUGCGUCAUUAGAUAAUCUUCGCGCAAAGAAAGCUAAAGAACAAAGACGAGAGAGAGCGCGAGGGGGGUGGAAAGCAGCGCAUCUGGAAAGGCAGUGAAGAAGUAAAGAUGCCUUAUGCCUUUUUCUGAGGAAUACAGCUCCUACUGUUGCCAGCGUCAAAUCUGUAAGCAUUUCUCUGUGGGCUUGUUUGUUUGGGCUAUGAGGCUUUGAUGGAAAAGAAACUAGGAUUGCAUGUCAGCUAUGACUGACAGUAAUAAGAUGCUUGUGAGAUGAAUGUGUUGAAUUAUAUAUGUUUAGUAGUCUUGACAAGACAAGUAUCAUUUGGGGUAGAUGAGACUUCUGUCUCUCACAGAAUUCUUAAGCAAAUAUUAAAAAUAAUAUAGUUGAAGACAGUGGUAUUUUUAAAAGCAGAGUCUAGCAAGAAAUAUGUACAACAUUUUGCAGAUAGAUGGUGCAGUUGAGAUUUAGGAUGUGAAUAUGAUGUUGUGAUUUAUCCGUUUCCGUAUGUUUUGCUCUUUAUCUGCAAACAGUGGUCUUUUUAAUUCUGCAGUCUAAUGUGUACUUAACUUAAAGUAUUUCUAAGUAAACAUGCUAGGCUUGGCUUGUAUGUUGUGGAUCUUGAAUGGGUAAGAUGUAAUCCAUAGCUUGGUUACAGUCUUUCAAAAAAACACUUUUUAUCUCCUUCAGCAUCUAUUGCCUAGAAAGAGAAGAGUGGAAAUCAGAUAUGGGAAAUCAGAGCAAACAAAAGACAACUAAGUAAAAAUAUAACAAUAUGUAAAUAUUUAGAAUUUUCCAGGAACCUCCUUCAGUUCCAUCUGAAGAUCCACCACCAACUGGAUAUGGAAUUAAUGCAUCUAAAAAAAGUAGGUUACAAUGAUAUGUUUCAUUGUAGAUCAAAAAUCUGCAUCCGGUCCAAAUGCUACAGUCUAUUUUAAACUUUGGAAUGCUAUUUCUGAGCAGAGGAAAAUAAUAAUCUCAUCUUGUUAUAAUUAUUUCCCCAACAUGUCAGCAUCGUCUGAAGAAUUCAGAAUUUAUAUGCACAUCCUUAAGCAAUAAAACUUAUUCAUUUGGAUGGUGGGGAAUGGCCAGCUGUCUGCAAGGAAUAUAAAUCCUUCCAUUCCCCACCAUCCUGUCAGAG